AGAAUUCUUAGUGGCGAACGGGUGAGUAACGCGUAGGCACCUGCCCUUUAGACGGGGACAACAUUCCGAAAGGAGUGCUAAUACCGGAUGUGGCCGCAUGGCGAAAGAUGGCCUUCAAGAAGCUAUCGCUAAAGGAUGGGCCUGCGUCUGAUUAGCUAGUUGGUAGUGUAACGGACUACCAAGGCGAUGAUCAGUAGCCGGUCUGAGAGGAUGAACGGCCACAUUGGGACUGAGACACGGCCCAAACUCCUACGGGAGGCAGCAGUGGGGAAUCUUCCGCAAUGGACGAAAGUCUGACGGAGCAACGCCGCGUGAGUGAUGAAGGAUUUCGGUCUGUAAAGCUCUGUUGUUUAUGACGAAGUGCAGUGUGUGAACAAUGCAUUGCAAUGACGGUAGUAAACGAGGAAGCCACGGCUAACUACGUGCCAGCAGCCGCGGUAAUACGUAGGUGGCGAGCGUUGUCCGGAAUUAUUGGGCGCAAAGAGCAUGUAGGCGGCUUAAUAAGUCGAGCGUGAAAAUGCGGGGCUCAACCCCGUAUGGCGCUGGAAACUGUUAGGCUUGAGUGCAGGAGAGGAAAGGGGA
rnacentral:rRNA from 1 species